CGGAUCAGCAUGCCGCGGUGAAUACGUUCCCGGGCCUUGUACACACCGCCCGUCACACCAUGAGAGCCGUCAAUGCCCGAAGUCCGUAGCCUAACCGCAAGGAGGGCGCGGCCGAAGGCAGGGGUGGUAAUUAGGGUGAAGUCGUAACAAGGUAUC
rnacentral:rRNA from 1 species